rnacentral:rRNA from 1 species
AUUGAACGCUGGCGGCAUGCCUUACACAUGCAAGUCGAACGGUAACGCGGGGCAACCUGGCGACGAGUGGCGAACGGGUGAGUAAUGCAUCGGAACGUGCCCAGUAGUGGGGGAUAGCCCGGCGAAAGCCGGAUUAAUACCGCAUACGACCUACGGGUGAAAGCGGGGGACCGUAAGGCCUCGCGCUGUUGGAGCGGCCGAUGUCAGAUUAGGUAGUUGGUGGGGUAAAGGCCUACCAAGCCUUCGAUCUGUAGCUGGUCUGAGAGGACGACCAGCCACACUGGGACUGAGACACGGCCCAGACUCCUACGGGAGGCAGCAGUGGGGAAUUUUGGACAAUGGGCGCAAGCCUGAUCCAGCCAUGCCGCGUGCGGGAAGAAGGCCUCGGUUGUAACGACUUUGUCUAGGAGAACGACUCCGGCGUAAUACCUCGGGUAAGUAGACGGUACCGUGAAGAAUAAGACACCGGC